AGUUAUCUAUUUAUUUGCUAAAUAAACGGACAACUAUCGAAAAAAGAGUUGUCUAUUAAAAAGGGGGUCAAACGGCGUUCCGUAAAAAAUCAUGUACUUUAAAAGCAUUCUAGGUUUUAGCCAAAAAUGGAAAAGUGAGAAGGCAAUAGCCUCCCGAUUUUUACAUUAGCUAAACGACUGAUCAACACUCAACAGACCUAAGUCAACUCAGUGUAGAAAAAAAUAUAUUAUGUGGGAACAGUAGAAAACGAUGAAGACGGACGAGAACGUUAUCUACCGUACCCUUCCUUUUAUAAAUGCGUUGGGAAAAAAGUAACAUUGCAAAAUGAGUACUUGGGCUGUUACAUCUUCGCGGUAAUCGUCCCUCAGCAACAGAUUUUGAAGAAAUGCUUGAUACUGCCUUUGAUCCCGUUCAACUUCAAUAUCACAACAAGACUGCAAGUCCAAGGGAUUCUCGCCAAUAAAUGAUCACCAUCGUUAUAUCCAGACCUUUUUAAACAUUGGAUCAGUUUGCACGCCGAUUAGUAAGUGGUAAUGGCACCAUGCAUAAAGUAUCGUUAAUUUAAAAAGCAACUGAUCAGCUGUAAAAAAAAAAAGGACGAUUUAAAAAUUUCAUUCGUAAGUAUAUUUGAAUAAAGCAAAAUAAACUUUCUUCCAAGAAUCACGGAUGACAUCAGUGAAAUUAUCUCCCAUUUCUUCUUGCGUGACGUUCAACCAAAUAUUCUCAAGCCUCUGAUAUUUCAAAUUCAAUUAGCAAGAACUCACAAAAUCAUACAAGUAUUAAUGCGGUUAUUACCUUUAGGUCCAGUUUGCUGUACUUGUUCUUCAGGUUGGCGAAAGCCGGGCAUUGUUCAGGAAGGCUGUACCUUAAAUGCGGUAUGAUGUAAUUCAAACUGGCGAUACAGUUAUACGCUGUGCUAAGAAAGUCGCGAUUAUAUGGAAGCUCAGCAUCGGUUACGUGAGCGAACGCUGGGAACAUCUUCCUAGCAUCUGGCCUGAUGGAGAAAUAUCUU